rnacentral:lncRNA from 13 species
ACAAAAGAGGAGAAGAUCCAAUCAGCGUUUUGGUUUAAUAAGGUGGAAUACCAAGGGACGCAACAGAAAAGAUACAGCACAACCAGGGAAAUAAAGGAAGUAGGAGCACACAGCAAUGAAAGACAUCAUUUAGAGAAGAAAAAAAAACGCUUAACGGUAUUUUGAAUUCAAAGGCUCCUGUUCCAGGUGAACUUGAGAAGCAUCCUUUUCUUUUUUUGGAGCUCUCAGCUUCAGUCAGCUAAUCUUGUGGACUAUUGGAUCCUGGAUGGCAUUUCAAGACUGACUGUUCCAUGGCCCCUCAUCUUCUGUCUUCUUAGCCGGAAAAGAACCAUGUAGUCUGAACAUCUUCUGAUAUGGUAAGUUGCUACAGUUUGUCAGUGUAAUGGAGGCCGAAAUGUAAGGGCUAAAGCGGCAGAAUUCAUGCUAGGAUAACGUAUUACAUAUUUUGAUAGCCACGUUUGCUCU